ACAGGGAUUGCCCUAGUAACGGCGAGUGAAGCGGCAACAGCUCAAAUUUGAAAUCUGGCGUCUUCGGCGUCCGAGUUGUAAUUUGCAGAGGGCGCUUUGGCAUUGGCAGCGGUCCAAGUUCCUUGGAACAGGACGUCACAGAGGGUGAGAAUCCCGUACGUGGUCGCUAGCCUUUACCGUGUAAAGCCCCUUCGACGAGUCGAGUUGUUUGGGAAUGCAGCUCUAAAUGGGAGGUAAAUUUCUUCUAAAGCUAAAUACUGGCCAGAGACCGAUAGCGCACAAGUAGAGUGAUCGAAAGAUGAAAAGCACUUUGGAAAGAGAGUUAAAAAGCACGUGAAAUUGUUGAAAGGGAAGCGCUUGCAGCCAGACUUGCCUGUAGUUGCUCAUCCGGGUUUCUACCCGGUGCACUCUUCUAUAGGCAGGCCAGCAUCAGUUUGGGCGGUUGGAUAAAGGUCUCUGUCAUGUACCUCCUCUCGGGGAGAACUUAUAGGGGAGACGACAUGCAACCAGCCCGGACUGAGGUCCGCGCAUCUGCUAGGAUGCUGGCGUAAUGGCUGUAAGCGGCCCGUCUUGAAACACGGACCAAGGAGUCUAACAUCUAUGCGAGUGUUUGGGUGUCAAGCCCGAGCGCGUAAUGAAAGUGAACGGAGGUGGGAACCUUUCGGGGUGCACCAUCGACCGAUCCUGAUGUCUUCGGAUGGAUUUGAGUAAGAGCAUAGCUGUUGGGACCCGAAAGAUGGUGAACUAUGCUUGAAUAGGGUGAAGCCAGAGGAAACUCUGGUGGAGGCUCGCAGCGGUUCUGACGUGCAAAUCGAUCGUCAAAUUUGGGCAUAGGGGCGAAAGACUAAUCGAACUAUCUAGUAGCUGGUUCCUGCCGAAGUUUCCCUCAGGAUAGCAGUAACGUUUUCAGUUUUAUGAGGUAAAGCGAAUGAUUAGAGGCCUGGGGGUUGAAACAACCUU
rnacentral:rRNA from 3 species